rnacentral:rRNA from 1 species
CAAGUCGAGGGGCAGCAUUUUAGUUUGCUUGCAACUAAAGAUGGCGACCGGCGCACGGGUGAGUAACGCGUAUGCAACCUACCUUUAACAGGGGGAUAACACUGAGAAAUUGGUACUAAUACCCCAUAAUAUCAUAGAAGGCAUCUUUUAUGGUUGAAAAUUCCGAUGGUUAGAGAUGGGCAUGCGUUGUAUUAGCUAGUUGGUGGGGUAACGGCCCACCAAACCUUCGAUGGAUAGGGGUUCUGAGAGGAAGGUCCCCACAUUGGAACUGAGACACGGUCCAAACUCC